GGCGCGGUGCUGAUGGUGUAGGGGUUAAGCGCACAACCAUAUACUGAGGCUACAGUCCUCGAAGCGGCCGUCCCGGGUUCGAGUCCCAGACCCGCGACA